GAUGAACGCUGGCGGCGUGCUUAACACAUGCAAGCGGAACGGAAAGGCCCAAGCUUGCUUGGGUACUCGAGUGGCGAACGGGUGAGUAACACGUGGGUGAUCUGCCCUGCACUUCGGGAUAAGCCUGGGAAACUGGGUCUAAUACCGGAUAGGACGAUGGUUUGGAUGCCAUUGUGGAAAGUUUUUUCGGUGUGGGAUGAGCUCGCGGCCUAUCAGCUUGUUGGUGGGGUAAUGGCCUACCAAGGCGUCGACGGGUAGCCGGCCUGAGAGGGUGUACGGCCACAUUGGGACUGAGAUACGGCCCAGACUCCUACGGGAGGCAGCAGUGGGGAAUAUUGCACAAUGGGCGCAAGCCUGAUGCAGCGACGCCGCGUGGGGGAUGACGGCCUUCGGGUUGUAAACUCCUUUCGCUAGGGACGAAGCGUUUUUGUGACGGUACCUGGAGAAGAAGCACCGGCUAACUACGUG
rnacentral:rRNA from 1 species